rnacentral:sRNA from 1 species
CUACAGUAGGCCUUCUUCUGUAUCUGGCUUUAUUCAGACAGCAGGAUGUUUAUAGUAUUCAUCGCUGACGUUCUCAGUAUCGAUAUCAAUAGCUCGUUCCUUCUUGCAGGGUAAUAGUCCAUUGUGUGCACAUGGAACAAGUUGCUCGUCCUUCCCCUGCCCCAAGUGGGCACUGGGUUCACUCUGCUUAACUGUUUGAAAAACUGUCAGACUGUUUUCUGAAGUGGCGGCAGCAGCUUCCACGCCACCCGCAGUCUCAGGCUUCGUUUCUUCACAUCCUCACCCAAACUGGUUCUCACCUGUUUUUACUGACACCGUCCCCGCGGGAGUGAAGUGGUGUCUUGUGGUUUGGAUUUGUGGCUCCCUCAUGGCUGAUGGUGCUGAGCACUGUCGUGUGCCCGGUGCCCGCUGACGCCUCCCUGGGAGCAGCGCCUGUGCAGGCCCCUGCCCACUGUUCCGCUCACUUUCAGGGCCGGUAGCGACGUGGUUGGGUGCAAGCCAACGGUUGUCCUUCUUCCCCUCAUGUUAUUUGUUCUGUUCUUCCUUUCUUGCCCUCUUUUGUAUUGAAUAUUUUUAUGUUCAAUUUAAUCUUCUUUACUGUUUUUAAGCAUUAUAUUUUUGUUUUAUUUUUCAGCGGUUGCUCUAAGAAUUGCAAUAUGCAACCUUAACCGAUCACCCUCCUCCUUAACUAACUAUGAUACUGCUUCAUGGAUAGGGUAAGAAGCUUACAACAGUAUCAAGUGUGGUACUCCCAAUAAUAUAUUCUUUAAAAUUUUUGCUUAAGCAGUCAAUGAUCUUUCAAGAAAGUUAAGAAAAAUUAAGAAACUGCCCAUAUAUUGACGUUUUCCGGUGAGCCUCAUUUCUUCUUAAAGACCCAGGGUUCUAGCUUGCAUUUUUUCCCAGUAGUCCUCACCCGUGCACGCCUCAGGCGCCAGGUGGCACAUGGUGAUCCCCCCAUCACCACGCUGGAAAGAGCAGUGAGGCCGGCUCUGGUGCUGGCGUCUUAUGUUGCCAAUGACACUGCCUGGCCCCAUCCUAGCUCCUUCCUUCCACAGGCACAGGUAACAGCAUCAUGGUCAUGAAAAUGAAUGGAUCCCUCCAUCAAGAAUUGAAGAUUGAGGAGAACUUCAAAGACACCAGUACCUCCUUCCUGGCCUUCCAGCUCCUUCCUGAGGUAUCCCAGCAGGGGCUGUGGGCCCAGCACGCGCGUGGCCCGGGGCCCAUAGCCCACACCGUGCCCUGUGUUUCAGGAGGAGCAGCUGUGGGCGGCCUGUGCAGGACGCAGCGAGGUUUACAUCUGGAGCCUGAAGGACCUGGCCCAGCCCCCGCAGAGGGUGCCCCUCAAGGACUGCUCUGAGAUCAACUGCAUGAUCCGGGUGAAGAAGCAGGUCUGGGUGGGCAGCCGAGGGCUGGGGCAGGGAACACCCAAGGGGAAAAUCUACGUGAUUGACGCCGAGAGGAGGACCGUGGAGAAGGAGCUGGUGGCGCACAUGGACACCGUGAGGACGCUGUGCUCGGCUGAGGACAGAUACGUGCUGAGUGGGUCGGGCAGGGAGGAGGGGAAGGUCGCCAUUUGGAAAGGGGAAUAAACGUGGCUGAGUCUGCCAAGUGGAACUGUGCCCUAUGUGUGGGGACUGGCUGCCCCCUAGAGCCUGCCAGAAGCAGAAGCCUGGAGGGGUGGCAGGGCAGAGCAGCCCAGGCUCAGCAUGGAGCCCACUUACCGUGUGGCCAGCCGCGAGACCCAUGGCCACGCACCUUCUCUCAGGCCUUCGGGCCCCCUGGUUAAACUGCACCAAGGGUGUUUCCUGUUGGGGUGUGUCUCAGGCAGGCAGCUGCGUCUUGUUGGUGAUAACCUCUGCUGGGAGGUUACUUUGUUGCCUAGAAAGUUCUGGAAUCCACAACCAGGGGCUGGCACUGGAGCCAGCAGCUUGGCCGAGUCACAGGUGACCCGUGGCCCUCACGUCUCUGGUUUUACCUUUCCUUACUUCCUUCAUUCACUCACCCAGUCCUUACGAAUCACCGAGGAACACUGGGCUGGGCACAUGACAGGGAACCGGGAGCCCCGGGGCCUCCAGCGAGGCCUGAGAAGGGUGGUUCGGGUAACCACUGUGGGCUCUCUCCCAUCACAGAAGGUGGACAGGGCCUACCCAGGUGGAGGGGACCACCCUGCGAUCAGGUGUUUGCGACAGGGGUUGGGCCAGCUGAGGCAAGCUGUCUUUUUUCCUUUUCUUUUUAAUAGAUGCAACAUUUUUAUAAUCAUCCUAGAGACCUUUUUUCUACCAAAGAUUCCAGACCAGAAAAAGUUCCAUCUAAAAUAUCAUGCCCAGGAAAGCACAUGGGAUCAAAAGUAAAACAGCAUCACGUGUGAUCUCGUCUUCCAGCGUGCCGCUCAGUUCCCCGAAUCCGUGUGCACACGUGUGAUCUCGUCUUCAGCGUGCCGCUCAGUUCCCCGAAUCCGUGUGCACACUGCGUAUGUGUACGCGCAGCAUGCUCUACUGAACUCAACAAGAUCUUAGCUGUACAUAAAUAUUUGCAAAAGAGACCCUUUGCACCUUUUUACUGUAAUGUUGAGAUUUCAUUACUUAAAUGUUCUAUGGAAGGUUCUGGUGUGGUUGUUGGAGCCGGAGGGAGCGUGUCAGCACGUGCUGAGGACAUGGGGCCUGCCCCCUGGGCACCCAUCCACAAGCUGGGCCACGGAGCCCCAGCUUCUCAGGACAAAGCCCCAGGGCCGGCGCAUCCUGAGGGUCUCUGGGGGUGUUUGCCAGGCUCCUGGGAUGGGCCGCUUUCAGAAGCUCUGCAGUGCCUCCAGAUGGAAAGGCGGGCCCGGCCUCCGGUUGGGUCUGCAUUUUGGAGAGUCCACACCACGGACCAGGUUUUCCCCCAAGGCUUGGCUUUGCAUAGCCACUAACUUCUUGGGGCGUUCUGAGAGUGCGGGCGGAGAGAAUUAUGUGGCCUCAUCCUCCCCCAAGGCUGUGCUUGCAGCCCGGGCACCUUCCCACUUUCUAGCUGCGGAGAGGUUGGAUUUUGCUUUUGUAAACACAUGAAUCCUUAUGAUAAAAGUCUGUCAGAAAUACAUUUAUAAAUUAUUUAAUGCCAGUCCUCAUGUAACCUCAGGUAUCUUCAGCUUGUGGAGAAUAAAUCUGGUUUAAU